rnacentral:misc_RNA from 1 species
GCUUACAACCCAAGCAUUCAACUUAUUUAACAUGAUGCUCACAUUUUUUCACUUCAUUGAAUACAACUCUCAUAAGAAGUAAGAAAUAUUGCUCAAAGAAGUAAAGAAAUAGAAACUAGUCAACAGAGCGUUGACAAGGCCAAAGAAAAUCAAGGAACCAAGAAAUUACAAAGGGGAAAAUAAACAAGGAGCAAGCAUUCUUUCUAAAGUUUGAAGUUCAAGUGUUCACCAUACAGAACAAUAGGAUAAAUUGAUAGAUCAUGUUAUGAAUCAAACACUGGUAAAACCUUGAUGUUUAUUAUUUCAAUCAAGGAAAUUUUCCAACAUUUACGCAUUGUCAGCUAGGCAAUACAAAACAAGCUUUCCUUUCUGGGGGCCAGGGCAGGCGAAGUAAACAAUUCUCAAAAGACUAGGUUAAAAACCUCCACCAAAAAGCUUUGCAAAGAUAUAACCUGUGCAACAUGGUCUAAAAAAGCUUUACAUCAAUAUGACAAUCGGGUACAUUUCCAAUCCCAAGCAAUCACAUUAUUUCUAUGCCAGCAAAACUCAGGUCUCAUAACUUCAAACAACCCAUCUCUGUUAGUGAUGAGCCUUUGCUUCAGCUUUCUUGUGAGACUUUGCUUUUGCCUUGAGAUAUUUGAGUUUCAGGUUCCCAUACACAAGACCCAGAGAGAAAGCUGACACACGAGCCACCAGGGCGAUGGUGCUGGUGCCGGAGUAGGGUCCAGGCGGCGGCGUCAUUUCCUGAGAAAGGGAACGAAGAAGUGGAAAAGAAGAAGAGUCUCAGUUGCAAUGAGACUCUUCUAAGCCCUAGAUUUUGAUUUUGGACCUUAGCUUAGAUCCCAAAACAAUUCUCUGCCUGCAAUGCAUCAUAAAAUAUUAAAUAUUUUUUUU